UUCCAUGAAUUGGCAAUAGAACAGCCUCAUUCUUCUGGUCAAUCUGAAUCAUCAAGUCUCUUGGAGGGGGUAGGUCAUUGACAUUCUUAUAUGCAAUCAAAUCACCAAUCGUCUUCACAAAACCUCGAUUGUCUGACGCGGAAGACCCCCCACCAGCAAGCCUCCUGGCUGUCUCUUCAUUCUUCUGCCGGGCAAGUUCAGCCUGGUGCUGCCUUCGUAGUUCUUCCUUCGAUAUUUCCUGGUUGUCUGACCUGAGUGUUGCCUUAGACAAAGUUGUCUCGCCCCCUUUAUCUUCAAGUCUGGCUUUGGGCCGUUCUUCUUCUUCAUCAUCAUCAUCAUUGAAUGAAUAUGCCACAUCC
rnacentral:misc_RNA from 1 species